rnacentral:misc_RNA from 1 species
AACGCACGAGACCUGCGGACCUGCGGAGGGAUCAUCAUUGAAUCCAUUUCUACUCACCCUUGUGAACUGUAUGUGAACCAGGUAUUUUGGCAAGACAGCGUUUAGUGAGGCCGAGUGGACACACUUUGCCAUUCUAGGCGUGCACCAGGGCUCAAUGCCUUGGUACCUUGCCAAAUGCCUAUUUUGAAAUCACUCGUAAAUACUUUUUAUCUGAAAAUUCUUUUAAAAUUAAAACAACUU